rnacentral:rRNA from 1 species
UGGGGAAUCUUGCGCAAUGGGCGAAAGCCUGACGCAGCCAUGCCGCGUGAAUGAUGAAGGUCUUAGGAUUGUAAAAUUCUUUCACCGGGGACGAUAAUGACGGUACCCGGAGAAGAAGCCCCGGCUAACUUCGUGCCAGCAGCCGCGGUAAUACGAAGGGGGCUAGCGUUGCUUGGAAUUACUGGGCGUAAAGGGAGCGUAGGCGGACAUUUAAGUCAGGGGUGAAAUCCCGGGGCUCAACCUCGGAAUUGCCUUUGAUACUGGGUGUCUUGAGUAUGAGAGAGGUGUGUGGAACUCCGAGUGUAGAGGUGAAAUUCGUAGAUAUUCGGAAGAACACCAGUGGCGAAGGCGACACACUGGCUCAUUACUGACGCUGAGGCUCGAAAGCGUGGGGAGCAAACAGGAUUAGAUACCCUGGUAGUCCACGCCGUAAAACGAUGAUUGCUAGUUGUCGGGAUGCAUGCAUUUCGGUGACGCAGCUAACGCAUUAAGCAAUCCGCCUGGGGAGUACGGUCGCAAGAUUAAAAACUUAAAUGAAUUGACGGGGUCAUAGCUGUUUCCUG